GGGGGUAUAGCUCAAGUGGUAGAGUGCACACUCAGCUUGUACGAGGUCCUGGGUUCAAUUCCCAGUACCUCCA
rnacentral:tRNA from 1 species